GAGAUCCGUCUUCUCGAGUUUCCGCAAAGAAUACAGAACCUCCCUGUAAGCCCUGGGACACAGAAGCCUCUAGAGGGUUGAACCUUCCCUGGUAACAAAGUAAAACAAUUUAAUAAAAGCAUCAGGUACAGAGAUCACAUCUGACAAAUAUACAGCCCUAUGUACCAGGAGUCCGCCUCCUCUCUUCCAGGAGAGGAGGGGUGUUAUGUGGUCAAAUUUCACCGGAUGCCUGUCUGAAAGGAACUCCAGGGAAGAAUCAACUUCCGAUGAUUCCUCUGAGUCACUGCAGGCUCUGGAUUCGUAACCUGCAAGAGAGAGGCCCAGUGCUCCAUCCACCGUGCCACCGAGCUGCCCUGCCUGGAGUACAUUCCUUCCUCACCUGUCUCUGGGAACUCCUGCCUACUUUCAAGAUCUAACUCAAACAUCCUGUCUGCAUGAUGCCUCUCCUGAUUCCCACAGGUGCUAGAGCCUUCUCUACCCCAAGAUCACCUUGCAACUGUUUUAUAUGUGCCUGUCUAUGUAUAGAUAAGAUCCUCGAAGGGGCAGACUGGACAGAGCUGGGAGCAGAAAUGAUACAAAAGGUUCUCAUCAUUUUGGUCAUCAAACCAUUCUGUACCUUAGGGAAGAGGUUACACCCCCGGGGAACUGGAAAGAACACUUGCCCUGGAGUGGCUGAGCUGAUCUUCUGCCUGUAUGGAAACAAAAACCUGAACGAACACUACUGAAAGGCAGUAUGCCUUUAUUAAGCACCUGCUAUCUACCAGGCACUGUGCUAAGGGCUUUUUUUUUUUUACAAAUAUUGUCUCAUUUCCUUUUCUGGAGCAUGGCUAAAUUGUAAAUUUGUUCUGCAUGAUUUCAUUAACUUUUAAAAUAUUACUUAUUUUAUAUGAGAUAUCACUUUUACUUCUAUGAGAGUACUCUCAUAUCUUCAAUAAUAGUU